CAAACUCUUUAGUAGGGUGUGAGUGGGGUCUCUGUCUGUGCUGCUGUGUAUCACAACUUUUUUACAAUUCACAUUUAAUUAACAAAGCAGAAAAGAAAGAAUUACCAGAUCUUCGGCGAAAAUUGAGCCUUCCAUAAGAUUGUUCAAAUUAUUCAAAUUUGAGUUGGGAUCUUGAUAGGUCUCUGGUGAAGUAGCAUUUUGUUUACAUUAACAAUGACGAAGUUCGAAAGAGCUCUGUUUUGACAACCGUAUAUCUAACAGAGAAGUAUACUUUGUGGAAUUAAGCCAGUUCAGGAACCAGUAUUGUUCGCUUAAUCGCAUGCCUUCAGCUAUGGAUCUUAGGUCAUAAUUUGACUCUUAAUUUAUAUGUAUAAACUGUUUUUUUCUUGAAAAAGGGCUUAUGAAACGGUUCAUGUGGAUAGUCAAUAAAUUCCUAAUUGGCUGGUUUUAGUGCCGGAUGCAACUAAUGUCUAUAACAAUUGACAGGUGUAGGAAAGGAUAUAAGCUAAUCUUGCUUGGGUCGAGGAGCUUUCGAGGAACUUCUUCUUUUGUGGUCGAAAAGAGAACGGAGGAUUGGUGAAGUGGAUCGUCGGAACAGAGGAUUGAUCACAUUCCUGCCCUCUAAAACUCCAGAAGCCGCAGUUCGGCGGUGGUGCUGCAGUCAUCGUCUUUGAAGUCAGCAAGGAGAGAGAAGUUCGCCACUAUACUCUGCGAAAGGUUUUGGUGUAAAUAUGAUUGUGAGGAAGAAAGUGAUGAAUUUCACAAAGACAAACUAAGCUAUUUAUAGCUCUAGAAUCACCGACUGAAAGAAAAUGGGAGAUGCAAAUA